CCUACGCGAGGCAGCAGUGAGGAAUAUUGGUCAAUGGACGAGAGUCUGAACCAGCCAAGUAGCGUGAAGGAUGACUGCCCUAUGGGUUGUACACUUCUUUUAUAUGGGAAUAAAAUGUUCCACGUGUGGGAUUUCGUAUGUACCCUAUGAAUAAGGCUCGGCUAACUCCGUGCCAGCAGCCGCGGUAAUACGGAGGAUCCGAGCGUUAUCCGGAUUUAUUGGGUUUAAAGGGAGCGUAGGUGGAUUGUUAAGGCAGUUGUGAAAGUUUGCGGGUCAACCGUAAAAUUGCAGUUGAAACUGGCAGUCUUGAGUAAAGUAGAGGUGGGCGGAAGUCGUGGUGUAGCGGUGAAAUGCUUAGAUAUCACGAAGAACUCCGAUUGCGAAGGCAGUUCACUGGACUGCAACUGACACUGAGGCUCGAAAGUGUGGGUAUCAAACAGGAUUAGAUACCCGAGUAGUC
rnacentral:rRNA from 1 species